UACGUAGGGUGCGAGCGUUGUCCGGAAUUAUUGGGCGUAAAGAGCUCGUAGGCGGUGUGUCACGUCGGCCGUGAAAACCUGCAGCUUAACUGUGGGCGUGCGGUCGAUACGGGCAUCACUGGAGUUCGGCAGGGGAGACUGGAAUUCCUGGUGUAGCGGUGAAAUGCGCAGAUAUCAGGAAGAACACCCGUGGCGAAGGCGGUUCUCUGGGACGGUACUGACGCUGAGACGCGAAAGCGUGGGGAGCGAACAGG
rnacentral:rRNA from 1 species